rnacentral:piRNA from 1 species
UGAGUUUUGGGCGACUUUGCAUUGAGAUC